rnacentral:rRNA from 1 species
AGUGAACGCUGGCGGUAGGCCUAACACAUGCAAGUCGAACGGCAGCACAGUAAGAGCUUGCUCUUACGGGUGGCGAGUGGCGGACGGGUGAGGAAUACAUCGGAAUCUACUUUUUCGUGGGGGAUAACGUAGGGAAACUUACGCUAAUACCGCAUACGACCUACGGGUGAAAGCAGGGGAUCUUCGGACCUUGCGCGAUUGAAUGAGCCGAUGUCGUAUUAGCUAGUUGGCGGGGUAAAGGCCCACCAAGGCGACGAUCCGUAGCUGGUCUGAGAGGAUGAUCGGCCACACUGGAACUGAGACACGGUCCAGACUCCUACGGGAGGCAGCAGUGGGGAAUAUUGGACAAAGGGCGCAAGCCUGAUCCAGCCAUACCGCGUGUGUGAAGAAGGCCUUCGGGUUGUAAAGCCCUUUUGUUGGGAAAGAAAAGCAGCAGGUUAAUACCCCGCUGUUCUGACGGUACCCAAAGAAUAAGCACCGGCUAACUUCGUG